AACUAAAUGCAGUGCCACUAUUGUAAAUUUUCACAUCUGCAGCAAGACAUCCUGCUUAAGCACUACAGGCUUCAUCACUGGCAAGCAGAUUUUGAAGUCUUUGUUGGAGCGACCUGAUAUUCUUGAGAAAACGUUUCCCAUAAAGGAGGGUACACCAGGAUUCUACACCUCACCUUUUGAUGGAAACAAUGUUACUUCGAGUCAUUCUCUCACCUAACAAUAUCAGGAAGCUAUCAAUACCCACACCAUCGUCAGUUGAGGAACUCUCUGCAGUUCUCUGUGAAAAACUGCAGAUAAUGGGAAGUUUUGUUAUCCAGUAUGAAGAUCCUGACUUCAACAACGAACUUUGUACUUUACAUGACAUCACAGAGCUUCCAAAAGACAAGGCUACUUUGAGGAUCCACUGGGAAGUAGCUUUAAGCCCAGUGGUGGAUGAUACUCACCUUUCAGAUUUCACUGUGGAUACAGCAAGCAUGACAUCCACUCAGUCAUCAGCUUCAUCACCCCAUUCAGUUUCUCCUCUUUUUCCAUCUAGAUUACAGC